rnacentral:rRNA from 1 species
UUGAACGCUGGCGGCAUGCUUUACACAUGCAAGUCGAACGGCAGCGCGGGGGCAACCCUGGCGGCGAGUGGCGAACGGGUGAGUAACAUAUCGGAACAUAUCCGGAAGUGGGGGAUAACGUACCGAAAGGUACGCUAAUACCGCAUAUGCCCUGAGGGGGAAAGGAGGGGAUCGCAAGACCUUUCGCUUUCGGAGUGGCCGAUAUCGGAUUAGCUAGUUGGCGGGGUAAAGGCCCACCAAGGCGACGAUCCGUAGCUGGUCUGAGAGGACGACCAGCCACACUGGAACUGAGACACGGUCCAGACUCCUACGGGAGGCAGCAGGGGGGAAUUUUGGACAAUGGGGGCAACCCUGAUCCAGCCAUGCCGCGUGAGCGAAGAAGGCCUUCGGGUUGUAAAGCUCUUUCAGACGGAAAGAAACGGUCACGAUUAAUACUCGUGACUAAUGACGGUACCGUCAGAAGAAGCACCGGCUAACUACGU